GGUUCUUAAUAUUGUGGCAUAUUGCAGAAGAACAGAAUGUUGAACAGGAUUGCCAGCUCUCUUCCAGAGGAUUGUUUCCCCAACACCCUUUUGGAACUGUUUUUUUUGCAUACCUUCUCACCAGCAGAAGAUCUGUCUGUUUUGUUCGAAGAGUGUUUCUGCAGAGUUGAAAGUAACCACUUGAGUUAGAACCURCCUCUUGCCUCUUCUAUGGCAUGUUCAUUUCUCAAGCUUUUCUGCCUCUUGUUUACAAAGCCACCAGAAGGAACUUGCAGGCUGACUACACUGAAUUGUCACUGUUGUUGUGGAGUAAAAAACUGCCUCAAGACUUGUGAGUUGUUGUAUAUGGAACAUUAAAUAGUGAAGGGAAACUAAAGAGAUACAAUGAGAAAAUGGAAAGUGUUCUGGUUUCAUAUUGUACCUGGCUGUGGCUGAAGACUUUCUUCUUGUCUAUUUGUGCCCUUUGGGGAAAUAAACUGGAUUAUAUUUCAGUUACCCCAUGGACGGAAGAGCUAAGUGUCCUCAUUAAUAAUGGAGGAACAGUCAGGGAGAAAUCCCAGGAAAGAGCAGCUCUUCAAAGGCAGAGAGGAGGGUUUGCUGGUGCUGAGGAGAGAGGAAGGAAGGGAGAGCAGAUCUUUAAAACUGCAUGCAAAGAAGGCUUUGACCUUCCAAGCUGGGAGGAUGUUGACUUGCUUACCUCUGCCAUUAUGAGUGGAGGAUGGCAAGCAGUUUUCAAAGGCAUCAUGCACCUGAGUUGGGUUGUGUUCCUGAAUCAGAGCUGUUUGUCUGAAAGCUAGUUUACGUGCAAGUGGGAGCAGAUUGAAAUUGAGAUAAAGGAGCAGUUGUGGCCCUGUCUGAGGAAACAAAGGAGCCUCUGUCAUCUUUCUCCUGCUCUCAGAAGAAAAAUCAAGAAAUCAAAAAAACCCCCCAAAAAAACAGAAGCCCCAAAUCCACUAGUUCGCAGGAGA
rnacentral:lncRNA from 1 species